rnacentral:rRNA from 1 species
AUUGAACGCUGGCGGCAGGCCUAACACAUGCAAGUCGAACGAGUGGCGGACGGGUGAGUAAUGUCUGGGAAACUGCCCGAGGGAGGGGGAUAACUACUGGAAACGGUAGCUAAUACCGCAUACCAUCGGAUGUGCCCAGGUGGGAUGAGCUAGUGGGUGGGGUAACGGCUGACCUAGGCGACGAACCCUAGCUGGUCUGAGAGGAUGACCAGUCACACUGGAACUGAGACACGGUCCAGACUCCUACGGGAGGCAGCAGUGGGGAAUAUUGGACAAUGGGCGCAAGCCUGAUGCAGCCAUGCCGCGUGUGUGAAGAAGGCCUUCGGGUUGUAAAGUACUUUCAGCGGGGAGGCGUUACUCGCAGAAGAAGCACCGGCUAACUCCGUGCCAGCCGCCGCGGUAAUAC